rnacentral:tRNA from 1 species
GGGCCCGUAGCUCAAUGGCAGAGCACCGCUCUCAUAAAGCGUCGGUUGUUGGUUCGAGCCCAACCGGGCCCA